AGGACGAACGCUGGCGGCGUGCUUAACACAUGCAAGUCGAGCGGAAAGGCCCUUUGGGGUACUCGAGCGGCGAACGGGUGAGUAACACGUGAGUAACCUGCCCUCCACUCUGGGAUAAGCCCGGGAAACUGGGUCUAAUACCGGAUAUGACUGCGGAUUUCAUGGUCUGUGGUGGAAAGUUUUUUCGGUGGGGAUGGACUCGCGGCCUACCAGCUUGUUGGUGAGGUAAUGGCUUACCAAGGCGACGACGGGUA
rnacentral:rRNA from 1 species